GUGGGAUGACGUCAAGUCCUCAUGGCCCUUAUAGGUGGGGCUACACACGCCAUACAAUGGAUGGUACAAAGGGUCGCCAACCCGCGAGGGGGAGCCAAUCCCAUAAAGCCAGUCGUAGUCCGGAUCGCAGUCUGCAACUCGACUGCGUGAAGUCGGAAUCGCUAGUAAUCGCAGAUCAGCAUGCUGCGGUGAAUACGUUCCCGGGUCUU
rnacentral:rRNA from 1 species